UACGGGGGGAGCAAACGUUGUUCGGAAUCACUGGGCGUAAAGGGCGUGUAGGCGGCUGAAUAAGUGGGAUGUUAAAUCCCCCGGCUCAACCGGGGACCUGCAUCUCAUACUGUUCAGCUCGAGCACAUCAGAGGAGACUGGAAUUCCCGGUGUAGCGGUGAAAUGCAUAGAUAUGUCACAGAACACCAAUUGCGAAGGCAGCUUACUAUGGUUUGAUUGACACUGAGGCACGAAAGCGUGGGGAUCAAACAGG
rnacentral:rRNA from 1 species